AUGCUUCUCAAGCAGGUAAUCUGGGGAGCAAGAGAGACAGAGUUCAAGUUCAGAAGACCCAUUGCUUUUGACCAGAGGGACCCGGAAAGUGAUCCCACUGGCCAGGAAGUUUCAUCCGGGAUUCCCGGAGCCUUGGCAAUGGGUCCACGGUGAUUUCGUGGAAGAUCGCGUUUCCCCGCCCAGAGCGGGUUGGGGCGGGAGGGAACUACGCGCCGACCGAGCCGGGAAAUGGGGCCGCGAGCCCAGCCUGCGAUUGUCCUCUUGAUGCUCUUGCGGACCGUGGCCCCGCACUGGCGGCCACCGCGGUCCCAUUCUCUUCGCUACCUCUUCAUGGGUGCCUCAGAGCCAGACCUUGGACUGCCUCUGUUUGAGGCAUUGGGCUAUGUGGAUGACAGGCUGUUUGUGUCCUAUAAUCAUGAGAGUCGCCAUGCCGAGCUCCGCCCCUUGUGGGUCUGGACUGGGUCUUCCAGCCAGCUGAGGUUGCAGCUGAGUCAGAGCCUGAAAGGGUGGGACCACAUGUUCACCGUAGACUUCUGGACUAUCAUGGACAACUACAACCACAGCGAAAUAAUGAGGCUGGGGGUGCUGUCAGAGUCCCACACCCUGCAGGUGAUUCUGGGCUGCGAGGUGCAGGAAGACAACAGCACCUGGGGGUUCUGGAAGUAUGGGUAUGAUGGACGGGACCACCUUGAAUUCUGCCCUGAGACGCUGGACUGGAGAGCAGCAGAGCCCAGGGCCCAGGCCACCAAGCUGGAGUGGGAAGUGAACAAGAUUCGGGCCAAGCAGAACAGAGCCUACCUCGAGAAGGACUGCCCUGAGCAGCUGCAUCAGUUGCUGGAAUUGGGGAGAGGCGUUCUGGACCAAGAAGUGCCUCCUUCUUUGGUGAAAGUGACUCAUCACGUGACCUCUGAAGCAACCACUCUACGGUGCCAAGCUCUGAACUUCUUACCCCAGAACAUCACCAUGAAGUGGUUGAAGGACAAGCAACUCCUGGAGGCUAAGGAGGUUGAGCCUGUGGAUAUACUGCCCAAUGGGGAUGGGACCUACCAGAGCUGGAUGGCUGUGGCCGUGCCUCCUGGAGAAGAACAGAGAUACACCUGCCAGGUGGAACACCCAGGCCUGGACCAGCCCCUCACUGCCACCUGGGGUAUGAAUGACAGCCAGAAGCUGAGAAAAUCUGUUAACCUUCGUCUCCUGGCACCCUAGUCAUUGGAAUCAUCAGUGGGAUCACUGUUUGUGUCAUCAUCUUCUUUAUUGGAAUUUUGUUCAGAAUCUUAAAGAAGAGACAUGUUUCCAUGAACUCGACCCAAAUGAAUGGAAAACAGCAGAAAACAACCUACUGAUCCUCGGCUGCCAUAUUUCCUUAUGAUAUCCCUGUGGGAAGGACCCUGGAAUAUGACAUCCUUACUCCUCUGUUGUUAUCAUCAGUAUCUCUUCAGUCCUUAGGCCAGGGCUGUGACUGGUGAUGUCAGCUAAUGGCUGUGUUUGGCCAGCACUUCUGGAGCCAGAACUCUGGUGGCAUUUUCCUGGGCGAGCUGGAGCACCCUCUCUCAUAUUAAUGACUGUGAAAGAGAAGCCACGAAGUGGCCUGGAGGAUGCCCCAGGCAUCUUUUUAGGGUUGCUGGAGUUCCACUUCUCGUCCCUAGCUGUGCACAUUUUAAAAAAUUAGUCUAGCCAAGCCAUUCAAGAUUAAAUUGCCUGACCAUGUUCAAAGAAUCUUAAUAUAUACACCCAGAUGUCAUGUGUUUACUAGGCAUCUAUAUAUAUUUAGGCUGCAUAACAGUGGUACAAGACAUUCUGUCUUGGAGACCAGGUACCUCUGGAGACCAGAUACAUCUCAGAAGGUCUUUUGGUAGUGUUACAGAUUGAAUCAUGCUCCCCAACCCCAAAGAUUUGUUGAAGUCCUAACCCCUGUACCUGUGAAUGAGAACCUGUUUGGAAAUAGUCUUUGAAGAUGUUAUCAGUUAAUGUGAGGUCAUACUGACGUAAUAUGGGUCCUAAUCCUAUAUGACUGUCAUCCCUAUAAAGGAGGAAAAGAUACAUAGAGACAAGGAGGCAGAGAAAAGACACUAUGUGAUGCUGCAGCUGCAAGCCAUAGAACGCCUGGAACUACCAGAAGCUAAGAGAAAGGCAUGGAACAGAUUUUCUCUCAAAGGCUCAGAAGGAAUCAACAUGGCUGACAUGACAUGUUGGACUCUAGCUUCCAGAACCAUGAGACAAAAACUUCUGUUCUUACAAGCCACCUAAUUUGUGGUAUUGUGUUAUAGUAACCCUAGGAAACCAAGAGAGAUAUGUUGAAUUUGAGGGAAAAGAUCUCAGCUAUUUUUUUUAAACUUUUCCUUUUUUUCUGACUGAGCAAAUUAUGUAAAAAAAGUAAUUGGUAUGCAUUGUAGAAAAUUUGAAAAAUGAAUAAAAAUAAAAAGCAUCUGUCAUAGUGAUAAAUUCUAUAAUAUUUAUAUUUCCUUAGUAUUAUUGCUGUAUUAAACAGAAAAUUAACAAAUACAUAUGUAUUAAUAAAUGUACACUUGUGUACUGCGUGACCUUACUGAUGUUGUACUUGUUCACAUCUUAUGUGUAUAUUUAGUCAUUACCUCAGUUUCAGGACAUUUACACUGCUAUAUAUAUAUAUUUUUUUUA